UUAGCACUGCAGUGCUUGUAGGAAGAGUUCCUCCUGCAUUGUGUGAGGAAUGGACUUGAAAAUAAGAUGUUCAGUUCCGCAAAGAAACAAACUCCAUUGUUAAUAUAGGAUUGGACAACAUCUGAGGAGUGGUAGUGUAAGGCACACAGACUCUCACCAGCUGGCAAGGUUUCACCUUUUCAACGUUCCUCUUCAAUCAAGACUCUGGACAAGACCCUAAAAGCUCGUUACACAUCUGUUUUCUUCAUUUCAGUUGCACACCCACAAUACCUCUCAAAGGAGUGGUAUGAGCUGUGCAAAAUUGCUUUUGGGACAAUUCUUUUCUUUUUAAGAGAGAGAGACUGGGCGUUUGUGUUUGGUCUGAUUUUCUUUAUCAAGCCACAUGCUACUUUGUGAAAGAGAAGCUAUCAUAAAAUAGCCUUUUGACAUCAUUGUAUGUAUGUUUUACGAUUUGUACCAUUUUGUAAACAGAUAUUUGAAGUUUUAUCUUGAUGUGUGCUUAACAAAUUCAGAUGUAUAAAGGAAACUUUCAGUGCUUGUA